rnacentral:rRNA from 1 species
UACAGAGGUCCCGAGCGUUGUUCGGAUUCAUUGGGCGUAAAGGGUGCGUAGGCGGCGGGGCAAGUCUGAUGUGAAAUCCCGGGGCUCAACCCCGGAACUGCAUUGGAUACUGCCUUGCUUGAGUACUGGAGAGGAGACUGGAAUUUACGGUGUAGCAGUGAAAUGCGUAGAUAUCGAUAAGGAAGGCCAGUGGCGAAGGCGAGUCUCUGGACAGUUACUGACGCUGAGGCACGAAGGCCAGGGGAGCAAACGGG